CUCUCUCUCUCUCCAUCUCAUGCUAUAGCAAGCUGAAAGGGAGAUGGUCUCUCCAUACAGUGAAGAAAGAAUAUCAUGCUAACAGAAUCUUUCGAAGCUCAACCAGCCACUCCUCCACUCUCCUUCUUACUUUGGUUGCCAAAUGAUCCCUUAGGGGUCGAUUAGAUGCCUGUAGGUUUGGAUCUUCAGAGGUUGCUCAAGUGGCAGAUCCUCGAGCAAAAGUCUAUGCAAUUCCUAAGGCGUCAGUUCUGCAACCGGCUCCACACACACAACACCGACUUGAAGGGCUUGAAGUUUGAAGCUAGAAUCGUGAAGUGCAAUGGCUUACUCUUCUCAAUUGAUUCACUAGUAAUAUAAAAUGGUCUAUUUCUUUCAUCUUUCUUAAUGUCACCAUCUAUUUUGAUCCUCUUAUGACAUUGCAAUUUUUAUUUUCAUUUUCCCUGAGGAUCUGCCACCUGAA